UGGCCUUGACAUACUAAGAACUUUCCAGAGAUGGAUUGGUGCCUUCGGGAACUUAGAUACAGGUGCUGCAUGGCUGUCGUCAGCUCGUGUCGUGAGAUGUUGGGUUAAGUCCGCAACGAGCGCAACCCUUUUCCUUAUUUGCCAGCGGGUAAUGCCGGGAACUUUAAGGAUACUGCCAGUGACAAACUGGAGGAAGGCGGGGACGACGUCAAGUCAUCAUGGCCCUUACGGCCAGGGCUACACACGUGCUACAAUGGUCGGUACAAAGGGUUGCUACCUCGCGAGAGGAUGCUAAUCUCAAAAAGCCGAUCGUAGUCCGGAUCGCAGUCUGCAACUCGACUGCGUGAAGUCGGAGUCGCUAGUAAUCGCGGAUCAGAAUGCCGCGGUGAAUACGUUCCCGGGCCUUGUACACACCGCCCGUCACACCAUGGGAGUUUGUUGCACCAGAAGUAGGUAGUCUAACCGCAAGGAGGACGCUUACCACGGUGUGGCCGAUGACUGGGGGUGAAGUCGUAACAAGGUAGGCGUAGAUGA
rnacentral:rRNA from 1 species